GAUGAACGCUGGCGGCGUGCCUAACACAUGCAAGUCGAACGGAAUUUACAUGAAGCCUAGCGAUUGUAAAUUUAGUGGCGGACGGGUGAGUAACGCGUGGGUAACCUGCCUUGUACUGGGGGACAACAGUUGGAAACGACUGCUAAUACCGCAUAAGCGCACGGCUUCGCAUGAAGCAGUGUGAAAAACUCCGGUGGUACAAGAUGGACCCGCGUCUGAUUAGCUGGUUGGUGAGGUAACGGCCCACCAAGGCGACGAUCAGUAGCCGGCCUGAGAGGGUGAACGGCCACAUUGGGACUGAGACACGGCCCAAACUCCUACGGGAGGCAGCAGUGGGGAAUAUUGCACAAUGGGGGAAACCCUGAUGCAGCAACGCCGCGUGAGUGAAGAAGUAGUUCGCUAUGUAAAGCUCUAUCAGCAGGGAAGAUAGUGACGGUACCUGACUAAGAAGCUCCGGCUAAAUACGUG
rnacentral:rRNA from 1 species